rnacentral:rRNA from 1 species
UACAGAGGGGGCAAGCGUUAUUCGGAAUUAUUGGGCGUAAAAGGGCGCGUAGGCGGCUUGGCAAGUGGAAGGUGAAAUCCCUCGGCUUAACCGAGGAACUGCCCUCCAAACUGCUUUGCUUGAGGCCGGGAGAGGUAAGUGGAAUUCCCAGUGUAGCGGUGAAAUGCGUAGAUAUUGGGAGGAACACCAGUGGCGAAGGCGGCUUACUGGACCGGUUCUGACGCUGAGGCGCGAAAGCGUGGGGAGCAAACGGG